CAUACCACUACCGCUUGUUUUCUUCUGCCCGCCCCACCAGCCGGCCUACCGACCGCUUAUGUCUGCUCAUGUGAAGACCGGCAAAGUGCUUUUCUUCUAUCACACUUGCCACUCCAGCCAGCCAUAAACUUGAACUCCAGCCAGCUUGCCAGCUUUGAUCCGGAUCACGGCGCGGAAUGAUGCUCUGCUCUGCUCGGCUCUGCUGCUGCGAAGGCAACGCGCUUCAAGCCAACAACGCGAAAGCUGCAUCUGCAUCAGGGCCUUGAAACACUCGGUAGCUGGAGCUGAGCUGAGCUGUUGGGGCCUGGCCUGGCCUCGGCUAGGAGUUUAUCGUUUAUCAUGCGAUGCGUUUCUCUCUGAAAGAGGAGGCAAUGCGCUGUGCAAAAGGGUUACCAUUCCAACCAACGGCGGGUGCACCGGAUACUUCUGAUACUUGAUUCCAACCGAUGUUUUCGCAUCGGCCGCACAGUGGAACGCACGAAACCGUAAAGCACAUGACACUCGUUCAAAAUAAUUACCUUUACAAUUUAAUUAAAUUGAAACAGACGAGGAGGAAUCGGUAUUCCAAAUGCAGCAGCUCGACUCGAAUCGUAGCUCGCCUCAUUUUCCACUUUGCACGAUUUAAUGUGGUUAUCUCACUUGCAAACGUUUUCAGUGCCCCAAUCAAUCAUUAUCGAGUCGGGGCCGGUGGUGCUUUCAGAGAUACGCCGCCGCCGCCGAGAGUGCGGGUUCCAUAAAUGAUGGUGGGACCCAGAAUUAACACCGGUCCAGUUUCAUUCAAAUCAAACCGACUAGCUAGAAAGAAGUACAAAAUCCGUACUGCCUGUAUAUCGAUGGAAUGAGAAAACCUUUCCGCAUUCUGUCAACCGGUGUAAUGCUUUUGUUACCCCAGCAGCAGUGCCGCGUCGUCCUUAGGUUACGCUAACGGUUUCGCACACUACUAAGACGCUCCAAAACCUUCAGUCAACAAAUGGUCUCCCUCUUGGCCUCACCCAACAGUAUAAUAAUUUUAAUUUUUGCAUCCAAAACAUACAAAAUAUAUCUACAAAAAUACCUUAAUCAACAACCAAAAUACUCCAAAACUUAGCUUUCUAAUAUCUGAAGAAAAUCAGAAAAAUCCAUUAUUUUUCGACCUUCAAGAAUAGAUUCGCCCUUAAGAGAUUAGGUUUUCAGAAUUGAAAUCUGAGAUAACAAAUUUUAGAACUAAAGUUAUGGAAUAUAGAUUUGAGCAUAGCAUUUAAAGUAUGUAAUAUAAAGCUAUAGAAUAGAGAAUUAGGAUUAGCCGGACCUUGGACAUUCUAAGAUUUUCUAAAUUGGGACAAUGGGUUUAACUCAAACGAAUCGAAUGGUUUCUUAGCUCCAACGUCCAGGUUUAGGAUCUUAUUCACGAUUAAAAAUAUGGAUUAAAGCAUAUCCUUUUGCCAAAGAGUUCCACAACUGGAGCCAAUUAAAAUGCACAAGCACGCAAGUGUGCAGAGUUGUCGAUCAUGGUCACGCUAACGCUGGUAGCCAUUUUUAGUACCACUUCGUUAAAGUGCGAUAAAAUUUGCCUCCGAACCACCGCACCCCGAGGAAGUAAAUUUCAUCGGCAGAGAUUCAAAGUCGCCAAUUAAAAACUUCAUUCCAACGAAAUGAUAACAAUUCGCGCAGAUCCGAGAAUGCAAAUUGCUUUCGCAGUAAAAGUCUGCCAUCAAUUUAAUCACCGCAAAAAGCAUUCCCCGCUUCACGUUUGGCUAGAUCAACAAAGCGGGCCGGCGACCAAGUACUCCGGCUUUGGAGGAGAAUUCUAAAAUCCAUCGAGUGCCGCAGUUCGCGUGGAAGGUUUUCAGCAUUUUCACGCAGUAGUGGGGUGGUGGGUAGACGACAGAUCCUACACAGUGGAUGGAAUGAUCUCAAUCAGGGCGAAUUUGAAUAUAUGCUGAAAUUUUCUAAACAGAUAGUAUAAAGUUUAUAUGUUGUACAAGAAUAACUCAAUAAAGAGUGAUCAAAUUAAUAUUACCUUUAAUGCACAUAACAAAGCUGCCCUGUACUCUAAUAGCUAACUAUAAAAUCUAUUGAAUAAAAACAGAACGCCAAGUUCCG